AUGGACUGGAAACCUGCGGUGAUGAUGAUGGCAGUGGUAAUCAUGUACGCGGUGUUGAACGUGAUGACGAAGAUAGCUUUCAACGAAGGGAUGCACACCACCGUCUUCAUCGUCCUCCGCCUGCUCGUUGCCGCGCUCUUCCUCUCCCCGAUCGCAUACUUCAAAGAGAGGAAGAGUAGACCUAAGCUGACCAUCGAGAUCUUCGGUUACCUCUUCUUGAGUGCCUUGCUUGGAGCCUCACUGCUCCAGUGGCUCUUCUUCCUGGGCUUGCGGUACACGACAGCCACGUUUGCGAGCGCCUUCAACAAUACGACCCCCAUGUUCACAUUCCUCCUCGCACUCGCCUUCAAAAUUGAGAAGAUUAAUGUGGCUAACCGUUCCGGCGCUGCCAAGCUCACGGGCACGGCUGUGGGGCUGGCCGGAGCCAUGGUGUUGGCACUCUACCAAGGCCCAACCCUGAUUGGUGCACCAGCAGAACACCUAGCCACCGCUGCCGCCCAUAGGGGUGCAGGGAGGUGGGUGAUGGGCUUGGUAGCGUUGUUGGGCUUCUCAGCAAGCUGGUCAAUGUGGUUCAUCCUGCAGUCCAAGAUUUGGACAAAGUACCCGGCACUGUACUCAAGCACGGCGUGGAUGUUCCUCCUUAGCUUUGUCCAGAUGGCUGUCGUAGGUGCCGCAACUGAGAAGAUGACCUUGGAGGUAUGGGUCCCUGGCACAGUGCUCCAGGUCGUCACCGUACUCUUGGCGGGUGUCGGAGUGUCGGCGCUGGGGUUCCUGGCCAUGACAUGGUGCGUGGAGUGGCGAGGGCCUGUGUUCACCACAGCCUUCAUGCCGCUAAUUCAGAUCAUCACCGCUGGUAUCGACGUCGCCAUCCUCCAUGAGCAGCUCCACCUUGGUAGCAUGGUCGGGUCGGUAAUUGUGGUCGUGGGGCUCUACUCCAUCCUGUGGGGAAAGAGCAACGAGGCAAGCACCAUU
rnacentral:rRNA from 1 species